AUGGCUGUCUUCAGCUUGCCGGCCGCUGCCACUCCCCCCCCCCAUCCGCCACUGGGUUCUCGUCGAUGUGCUAGAAUGUUCCACCGCCGCAUGCACAGGCUGUUGGAAAUCGAAGAUGCAAAACGGCCAGACUCGUCACCGUCUCGUUUUAUUCCUGGUUCCUUGGACACCCAGCACAACGGGAGGCAAUGUUUGACUCCCAGCAAAUCAAAUCGAACCGGAUCGAAUCAAAUCCAGGCCCCUUCCCCUUUCACCCUGGUCUUAAUACUGAAAAUUGAAGUAUUUCCUCCACAUUUAAUUUCAUGUUCUCCGGAAGGGACGACCCACCGCCCCUAGUAGGGAGGAUAUGGUUAUCCGUCUCCGCUUGGAUUUUGCCGGUGGGAAACUUUAGCCUGUCAAAAACCAGCCCGCCUCAUUGUGUUCUGGAAUGUGUUGAUUGACAGCCGCUGGUCCGGUUUAUACAUCUUUUAUGAACCAGAUCAUCUUUCUGAGCUCUUGGGAACUCGACUUCAUUUGAGCCCCAGCGGGGGUUCAUCAGGGACCUCCUGGGGUCGGAAGCUUGCUUGUCGCGAUGGUUCAGCCUUAGAACGCACCACGUUGGGGCCGAGAAAGAGUUACUCUGAGCCUGUGCAGAGUUCCUUCUACCACGGUGGCAGAACCGACAUGAUCAUGAAGAGAAAGGGGAAGCGAUCAAGGGGGAAGGCUUGCAGUUGAGGCAGAGGUGGAAAACCAGGCCUCUUGUUGGAGUUUUGUCUCGCGUGUUUGUGUACGGGCUUCAUUUCUAUCCUCAUUAUAACACAGAUGGUACCGUUUCAGCUGCAUAUGCACUGACACUAUGAGAAGGGAAUUCUCUUUCACCCUCUAUACGGGAGAUGACGGAAUCCGCAUCCCACCGAUAAUUCUUCAAGAUACUUUCCCCCCAAAUGCAGCACAAUAACAGGGAUGUUUCCAAGUCUUUGGUUUUGAGAUCCGAGUUCAAGUUUUUGGUACUGAAUCCCAAGUCCAAAUCCCUACUAAAACCAAUCUUCCCCCCCCACACACACACACACUAACAAAGGGAAGGGUGGAUGGGUUCCGAGUCACUGAAAAAAAAUCUGCGUGUCGAGUCUGAGUCGAGUCUCCAAGGCGACUUCAGCGAGUCUCGCACUUCGAGUCCCCAUUGCGGGCAGUAAUAAUCUAUUUGUUGAAUGGGAAGAUUGCACAGAACUCAGAUGAGGUCAAAGCUGGACAUCAGUGGCAGAGGACAGAGGAAGGGGGCAGGCGAGGCAAUUCGCCCGGAGCUUCUGAUGUGAUGCCCAGAAAUAUGGAAUUCCUACCAGGCAGAAGGGCAUCAUCUCUUACUCUCGGCAGACCUUCUCGGUUCUUCUGAGCUCAGACACAAUUCUAAUUAAUAAAAGGGGGGA
rnacentral:lncRNA from 1 species